rnacentral:misc_RNA from 1 species
GAACGCAAAUUGCACUUUCUGGUAUUCCGGAAAGUAUGCCUGUUUGAGGGUCAUUUAAAUAAAAAUCGGUGUUGUUGCUGCCUUUCGUGGUGACGCGUCGGAAUUGGGUCUUCUUAGCUUCGGUUAAGUGACUUAAAAUUUUGCAUGAUUUUCGAACGUAUUUAAAUCGUUUACGUACGUUUGAGAUAUCGAAUGUUUAUUAGGUUCGGUCAUUCUCAUGAUUCGCGCCUAUAAUUUUUCAUUAAAUGACCUCAAAUCAGGUAAGAAUACCCGCUGAACUUAAG